AUGCAAGUUUAACUGUUUGAGUCUUUCCUCGUAUGGCAAGUUUCUCAACCCCUGAAUCAUCUUAGUCAUCCUCCUCUGCACCGAUUCUAACAUUUUGAUAUCCAUUCUAUAGUAAGGUGACCAGAACUGAACCGCAAAGUCAAGAUGAGGUCUAACUAAUGCUAAAUGAAAUAAUAGAAACAUAAUAAAAACAUA